CGCCUCUUGCUAUUCCCAAAAUAAGAGGUCCCGUCUGCCCCCUGACUAUAUGUUCAACGGCCGCGGUAUCUUAACCGUGCGAAGGUAGCGUAAUCACUUGUCUUUUAAUUGAGGACCCGUAUGAAUGACAAAACGAGGGCUCAACUGUCUCCUUCUUUCAGUCAAUGAAAUUGAUCUCCCCGUGCAGAAGCGGGGAUUAACCCAUAAGACGAGAAGACCCUAUGAAGCUUUAGACACUAGGACAUACCCUGUCAAUACCCCCUUAUUAAAGGGCCAAAACCUGCCCGCCCAUGUCCCCGUCUUAGGUUGGGGCGACCCCGGGGAACAAAAAACCCCCACGUGGAACAGUAGUACUCACUAUCCACAGCCGAGAGCCACCACUCCAAAAACCAGAACCUCUGACCAUAUUAUGACCCGGCAAUGCCGAUCAACGAACCAAGUUACUCUAGGGAUAACAGCGCAAUCCCCUUUUUAGAGACCGCAUCAACAAGGGGGUUUACGACCUCGAUGUUGGAUCAGGACAUCCUAAUGGUGCAGCCGCUAUUAAGGGUUCGUUUGUUCAACGAUUAAAGUCCU
rnacentral:rRNA from 1 species